rnacentral:rRNA from 1 species
AUUGAACGCUGGCGGCAGGCCUAACACAUGCAAGUCGGGCGGAGCGGCGGACGGGUGAGUAAUGUAUGGGGAUCUGCCUGAUGGAGGGGGAUAAAUACUGGAAACGGUAGCUAAUACCGCAUACUAUCAGAUGAGCCUAGGUUGGAUUAGCUAGUUGGGGGGGUAAAGGACUACCAAGGCGACGAUCAGUAACUGGUCUGAGAGGAUGAUCAGUCACACUGGAACUGAGACACGGUCCAGACUCCUACGGGAGGCAGCAGUGGGGAAUAUUGGACAAUGGUCGAAAGCCUGAUCCAGCCAUGCCGCGUGUGUGAAGAAGGUCUUCGGAUUGUAAAGCACUUUAAGUUGGGAGGCGUUACCGACAGAAGAAGCACCGGCUAACUCCGUGCCAGCAGCCGCGGUAAUUC